rnacentral:rRNA from 1 species
UACGUAGGGGGCGAGCGUUGUCCGGAAUUAUUGGGCGUAAAGCGCGCGCAGGCGGUUUCUUAAGUCUGAUGUGAAAGCCCACGGCUCAACCGUGGAGGGUCAUUGGAAACUGGGGAACUUGAGUGCAGAAGAGAAAAGCGGAAUUCUACGUGUGGCGGUGAAAUGCGUAGAGAUGUGGAGGAACACCAGUGGCGAAGGCGGCUUUUUGGUCUGUAACUGACGCUGAGGCGCGAAAGCGUGGGGAGCAAACAGG